rnacentral:tRNA from 1 species
GGAAUUUAGCCCAGUGGUAGAGCGCUUGCCUAGCAAGCAUAAGGCCCUGGGUUCGGUCCCCAGCUCCG